AUCUCUGCAAUUGAACCUAUGGAUUUGAAGUAUUUUUUGAUUGCUCACUGUUGGGUAUAAAAUACCCCCCAGCCGAAGUUCGUGUCAGGAGUGACCCUCCAGGGAUUCUACCAACGUCCGACCUUCGGCGACAUCUUUCCGAACCUCUUUGACGGUCGAGCCUCCGCUACGUUCUUGAGUUCUGCCGACGGAUAAACCCCCACC
rnacentral:lncRNA from 1 species